GGACGAACGCUGGCGGCGUGCCUAAUACAUGCAAGUCGAGCGGGGUUCCUUCGGGAACCUAGCGGCGAACGGGUGAGUAACACGUGGGCAACCUGCCCUCAAGCCUGGGAUAACUCCGGGAAACCGGUGCUAAUACCAGAUAAUCAUUGCUCUUGCAUGAGAGCAAUGUAAAAGUUUUUCGCUUGAGGAUGGGCCCGCGGUGCAUUAGCUUGUUGGUGGGGUAAUGGCCUACCAAGGCGACGAUGCAUAGCCGACCUGAGAGGGUGACCGGCCACACUGGGACUGAGACACGGCCCAGACUCCUACGGGAGGCAGCAGUAGGGAAUUUUCCGCAAUGGGCGAAAGCCUGACGGAGCAACGCCGCGUGAGUGAUGACGGCCUUCGGGUUGUAAAACUCUGUUCUUAGGGAAGAAGUUCUGACGGUACCUAAGGAGAAAGCCCCGGCUAACUAC
rnacentral:rRNA from 1 species